UACGGGGGGAGCAAGCGUUGUUCGGAUUUACUGGGCGUAAAGGGCGCGUAGGCGGCCACCGCAAGUCGACUGUGAAAUCUCCGGGCUUAACCCGGAAAGGUCAGCCGAUACUGCGGGGCUAGAGUGCAGAAGGGGCAACUGGAAUUCUCGGUGUAGCGGUGAAAUGCGUAGAUAUCGAGAGGAACACCUGCGGCGAAGGCGGGUUGCUGGGCUGACACUGACGCUGAGGCGCGAAAGCGUGGGGAGCGAACCGG
rnacentral:rRNA from 1 species